rfam:Flavobacteriales bacterium BRH_c54 BRHa_1004291, whole genome shotgun sequence.
UGUUUAUCAAGAAAGGUGGAGGGAAUAGGCCCUGUGAAACCUUGGCAACCAACUAUAAGUCUUGCAUAAGCGAGAUUGGAAAAUCGGUGCUAAAUCCUAUCCCGAUAAAUCGGGAAAAGAUAAGUA